UGGGGCGUCGACAAGCGGUAAGUCACUUGCCUUUGGAGCAAGUAUCCGGAGGUUCGAAUCCUCCCGCCCCAA
rnacentral:tRNA from 1 species